rnacentral:misc_RNA from 1 species
GUACACCAUGUCUUGCCUAUACUUUAAUAUACAUUACUUUACACCUACCUGAAGGUUACCUAUAGUUAAUGUCCUUUUAACUUAUUAUAUGAUUGACGCUAAUAUCAUCAAGAGAGAGGCCACCAGCCACUCCCUCAAACCUGUCUCACCAACUCACAUCUAGAAACAAUUAGGGUCACUACCCUCUCUCUCUUUCUGAGUCAAAAGCCUAUAUAAAACUCCAUCUCCAUUACUCUGAAGGGCCGGCCUUAAUGUUCCAGCAACUCUAAGAACAAAGGUCUCCACUUCUACCAAAUUCACCAAAGAAAAAAAAUUAUAUAUUGUUUUUGAAAGAAAAAUAAGAACUUGCUGAUACUGCUUCUUCUACUCCAAAAUGGGAAGGUCUCCUUGCUGUGAAAAAGCUCAUACAAACAAAGGUGCAUGGACCAAAGAA